UACGAAGGUGGCAAGCGUUGUUCGGAUUUACUGGGCGUACAGGGAGCGUAGGCGGUUCGGUAAGCCCUCUGUGAAAUCUCCAGGCUUAACCUGGAACAGUCGGAGGAGACUGCUGGGCUAGAGGACGGGAGAGGAGCGCGGAAUUCCCGGUGUAGCGGUGAAAUGCGUAGAGAUCGGGAGGAAGGCCGGUGGCGAAGGCGGCGCUCUGGAACGUUUCUGACGCUGAGGCUCGAAAGCGUGGGGAGCAAACAGG
rnacentral:rRNA from 1 species